rnacentral:SRP_RNA from 1 species
UUGUGGGGCUCGUGCAAUGGAAGCCUGUGAAUCGUGUCAGGAUCGAGAGAUAGCAGCACUAAGCGGUUACUUUCAUGUGCCACGAGGGAACCUAUAAGGC